AUUGAACGCUGGCGGCAGGCUUAACACAUGCAAGUCGAGCGGAGAUGAGGUGCUUGCACCUUAUCUUAGCGGCGGACGGGUGAGUAAUGCUUAGGAAUCUGCCUAUUAGUGGGGGACAACAUACCGAAAGGAAUGCUAAUACCGCAUACGUCCUACGGGAGAAAGCAGGGGAUCUUCGGACCUUGCGCUAAUAGAUGAGCCUAAGUCGGAUUAGCUAGUUGGUGGGGUAAAGGCCUACCAAGGCGACGAUCUGUAGCGGGUCUGAGAGGAUGAUCCGCCACACUGGGACUGAGACACGGCCCAGACUCCUACGGGAGGCAGCAGUGGGGAAUAUUGGACAAUGGGGGGAACCCUGAUCCAGCCAUGCCGCGUGUGUGAAGAAGGCCUUAUGGUUGUAAAGCACUUUAAGCGAGGAGGAGGCUACUGAGACUAAUACUCUUGGAUAGUGGACGUUACUCGCAGAAUAAGCACCGGCUAACUCUGUGCCAGCAGCCGCGGUAACAC
rnacentral:rRNA from 1 species